AACAGAGUCAAGCUGUCAAAUGCUUGUUGCUCGAAGGAAAGUCGGCGCUAGUGUUUAAAAGAAAGUAUCGCGUUAACCGUGAAGGACGCGCGCUACAGGAAAAAUCCGAUUUAAACGAUAAGAUGUUAAAUAGUGCGUCGAAUUUUUUUUUGUAAUAUUUGAUUUUUAGUAUAAACUAUUUUUUUUCCUUCGCCCCCAGUUUGGCUGUACUGGGUGGGUUGCCGUGUCGGUUCGUGACUGUCGGUGUGGCUAGCAGCGAGAUUUCGUGGCGAUGAGACUGUUAUCAAGAAGUGCCUUUCAGAUGACUCCCCGUGUCGCUGAUCUCUGGUCUCUGCCUGCCUGUACCACCCACACUCCUCUCUCUCCACCUCAGUCAGAGUACUAAUCCUCCCACCUUAAACCGUUCCUUUCUCCACCUGACUGCAGCAUUCAGUCCCACCCACAGCCACAGGAAAGCAUAAACUAAGCCUGCUGUCAAAGUAGUCAGAGGAUCAUGCUAUGCAGGAAAAUUACAUUUCUUGAAUAAAAACAGACGGGUGAUUCACAAUCCACCAACCUAUUACAGUGUCCUUUUACAGUAAACAACUACGCCAUACUCAGACACCCUGAACGUAGUGGAUAAGUGCCCAUAUAUCUCGUUUAGUGAGUUCCACUGUGGCUGUCAGCAAAAUGUCUGUGGCAUUGCCAGCUGUGCGCGACACUAAGUGGCUGACUCUGGAGGUGUGUCGUCAGUUCCAGAGAGGCACGUGCUCUCGCAGUGACGAAGAAUGCAAAUUCGCUCACCCACCCAAGAGCUGUCAGGUGGACAAUGGCCGAGUCAUCGCCUGUUUCGACUCCCUAAAGGGUCGGUGUUCAAGGGAUAACUGUAAAUAUCUGCACCCUCCAUCUCACCUGAAGAGUCAGCUGGAGAUCAAUGGAAGAAACAACCUGAUCCAGCAGAAGACGGCUGCAGCCAUGCUGGCCCAGCAGAUGCAGUUCAUGCUGCCAGGAUCCAGCCUGCCUGCUGUGUCUUCUUUUCCUGUUGGUCAGAGUCUGGGGCCAGGACCUGGGAUCAGUUACUCGCCCUACCUCUCUCCUGUCACUCACGGGAUGGGACUGGUUGCUACGGAGAUGCUCCCGAGCAACCCUGUGAUUGUCCCUGGCAGCCCUGCAGUAGCAGUGCAGAGCUCUAACUCCUCUUCCUCGUCUCAGAAAACACUGCGCUCUGACAAACUGGAGGUGUGUAGAGAGUUUCAGCGGGGGAACUGCUCCCGAGGAGAGACAGACUGUCGGUUUGCCCACCCUAGUGACAGCCCCAUGAUUGACAGCACUGAUAACACAGUGACAGUGUGCAUGGACUAUGUGAAGAGCCGCUGCUCCAGAGAGAAGUGCAAAUACUUUCACCCUCCUGCUCAUUUGCAGGCACGCCUCAAAAGCUCUCAGAGCACACAGAGCACUGCUGCAACUGCUGCUAUGACUCAGUCAAGUGCCAAAGUGCUGAAGCGACCCCUCGAGGCAACUGUUGACAUGGCGUUUCCUCACAGCAUGUUGCAGCCACUGGCUAAGCGAGUGGCUCUAGAGAAGAGUGCAGGGCCUGGUGGUCUUUUAAACCCCAGUGUUCUUCACUACCAGCAAGCUCUCGCCAACACACCUCUGCAGCCUUCUACUGCACUGUUCCCUACAGGCUCAGUCUUGUGCAUGUCUCCUGGACCUGGCAUCGUUCCCAUGAUGCUCAGUGCCCCGCCUGCUACCGCCUCCGCUCCUGCUGCAAGCCCCUACGCUGCUGCCGCCGCGGCAACCGCCAAUCAGGUUUGCUCCUUUACAAGCUCUCUCUCACUGUUCCCACCCUCUUAGUUCAGGAGCAGAAUACCCUCUUUUACAGGAAUACCUCCUUUUACGCAGAUCAGGCAUCUCUGUUAGCUCUCUUUUAGCUUUAAAUGCAUUUAAAUAUAAGCUAUCAAGAAAUAUUUCCUGAUAGCUUAUUGGCUGCUUUUCUAACACAGGUUGCAUUCUGCAAAUAGUCAUUAGAGCUGUUUAUUUUAUUGUAAAAAAAAUAAAUAAAUUAAAGAUGUGCAUGUAUGUGGUUAGAGAAUCAGGUGUGCAACGUAACGCUGUUUUCUGAGCUUUGUUGGUUUGGCUCUUGCUGGCUCGAUAUUGCUGUUAAUAGAUAUGGAUCCAUAAGCAGCUCCUGUCACCUCAACCACUCACAGCAGCUGUUUGGAGCUCCCCCUACAUGCAAUCAUUUUGAAAUAGAGCACAGGAGAGGGACAGAGUGCCAGCGCAACACACACACACUUCUUAAACAAAGAGUGUGUGGAUGUCACAUCCUCAAUUCCACAGAAUUACUGCUACAUGCAUGCUGAUACACAAACACACACACACACACACAGCCUAACAAUAUUUUCCCUACAGUUAUGUUCAAGAACAUUAUACAGACAUAUAUAUAUAUAUAUAUAUAUAUAUAUAUAUAUACAAUAUAUACACAGCAAGAAACUAAUCAAUCAUAUAUGUUUCUAAAUUAGUUUCACUGGAACAAAAUCUUCUAUUCUUUUUGCUUGUUUAAGUACGUUAUAUAAUUCUACACUUAUACACAGUUUCAUCACCAGUGUUGAGUAGAAAGUCAUUCAACACUUGUUUUACUGUGUGACUCUAUUUGCACUUUUCUUUUUUUUUUUUCUUCUUUUUUUUUUUCCAAGAAAAAGGGCAACAUCUUGAGAAAGACUAUUAGAUGCCCAGUUUUGAGGAUUUACACAAUUCUCUCCGAGCUGAGAUACUGAUUUAUGAGCGUUUGUCUGCCUGCAACGGCAUCAGAAAAGACUGUAUAACCCGAGUGCCGAAACACAUCAAAAGCCAUGCAGGAGGAUGGCAGGCAAGCGCAUCACAACCCUGUAGGAGAAUGUCAAACGGCAUGUGAAAGCUAUGCAGGAGAAGGACAGAGUGAGUUCACCUCUCAGCUCCACACUUAAUGCUUUGCCUGAGCACCGCUGCAAUACAGCAGCCUGAAUGAAGAGAACUGUUAGCCAAAUUAUUCAUAGAGGAAGGAAGAAAAAAAAAAAAAAAAGAUUUUCACCUUUAACAGUGGCCAAACAGAAUAGUGACACACUAACCCUUUAAACCUUGAUAUGAAUCCGAACUUUAUUACUUCAUUACAGCCGUUCUUUUAUCAUUUCUUUAGCUGCAAAUUUAGUGUUCAAGUUUUGCCACAUUAGAGGUUAUUCUCUCGAUACUGUGCCGUGGGAAGAGACUGAAAAAGACAGAAACAAAGAUGUACACUUGUGCGACUUUAUAUGUGCGUGUGUUUGUGCAUAGUGACACGACAUAGCAUACAUUACCACAUCUGGGCUCCACAGCUAGGCUUAGCGUCUAGACAUCUCGGCAUUACGAGCUGCGAGUUCAUCCUGUUUUUUGGGUUUCUGUAUUUAUUGUUAUGAUUCUGUAUAAGUGCCUAACAAUGUUCUUUACAAGCAUAGUAUGGAUACAGAUUUGAACUGUUCAUGUUUAAUUUUGUUGCUGCAAUCUCUCAUUCUCUCUCUCUCUCUCUCUCUCUCAAAAAAAAAAAGCAGUUUGACCAUGGAUGUCAUGCUCACUGGUGAUUUUAUUUUAUUUUAUUAUUUUUUUUUUCCAAAUCUUUUUUGAAAAGAAUAACAGAAAUAGUUACUACUAGCAAAAAACAAAUUAUGUCCUGUAUAAGAGAAGACUGCUGUUUUUCGUAUAGAAUUAUCAAGCUCUUAUACACAGUGAAUUUGACUGAGGUAGGAAAGCUGCAGGUUGUUAAGUCUCAGAUUUAUAACACCGAGAGUGUUAUACAGUUUCUCCCAAAGUAGCACUUCAUCAUUUAAUCAGUUGCUUUGGGUCAAAAAUCACAAUUAAAUUAGAUGUUUUAUUUGUAUUGGACUCCAUAGGCCUCUUUAGCGUUCUACUUUACGUUUCUUUCAUUUCCUAGAGCAGUGAUUGACAACAGUGUGACAUGUAACUGACCUAAUACUUAACGAUUCUAAUCUACUUUAAUUUAGGAGACAGUCAAUCAUAUAAUUGCUAUUCGGAUGUGUGUUUGCGUGUUUUUUUUUCCGUGUGUUUUAAUUCAGGGCGGAGAUAAAAUGCCAUGUGAGAACCUAGACAAUCUUUAGUUUAGAUACGCAAAGGCACUGCUCAGAGUUGUAGUCAUUUAACUUCUCAGCAUCGCCUGAGGAUAAUUUAUGUUGUGAUCUAUAAGAUAUAUGAGAACUAUUAUGUAAUGUUACGGUAUUGAUUGUGGUUAAUGGACCAUUGUUAUGUUUGGUUUGAGAUUGAAUGUAAUUUAUUUGAUGUAGGGCCUUAUUGUUUUAAAAAGGCCAGCUUGGUGCCACCUUCCUCUCCUGCAUCACCUGACUUGUGUGGGAAGAGAAAAGCAGGAUGCUUGACUUUGGAAAGUUACAGUGUCCUCAUUAAAAAAAACAAAAAAAAAAAGCAUUAAGCACUCCGUCGUAUUACACAGUCGUUUGUGAAUCUAAUGCUUUGAUAUAAUAGUCAUUGUUUGAGGUGUGCAGAAGUCAGCUUUUGUGAAAGAGAAGUCUAGCAGUGAGUAACGCAGGUAGCCAGCCGAGAGAAGCACUCAACACUGCAUGACGCAUCGACGCAGGUCAGGCUGCAGAAGUGUUCACGUAAUGUCAAAAUUAAAAAUAACACAGCAUUUCAGUCUAUAGUUCACUUUUGUGUGCUAAUAUUUUAGAAGAGUACUAAUUUGUUAAUGUGACCGUUCAAAAUUGCUAUGAAUGAAACUGUUUUUGUAAGUGAUGUUCCUGUUUUGUUUUAUUAUUUUUCUCUCUCUCUCUCUCUCUCUCUCUCUCUCUAUCAUGAUGUUAGUUUCAAGUAUAUUUUCCUACUACUGGGAAAUUACUUAGUUUCAAUGCCUUAUUGUCAUGGACCAUACUAUUUAAUUGAAAAGUAUAUUAGUCUUAAAAAUUGUUUCAAAAAGUGUUUAUACACGUUUAUUUCCACUGUCCAGAUGUAAAUGCAUAAUCAUUGGAAUUUCUUAAAAACAACACACUAGCAGUGUGUUUUCACUCAAGAGCACGAGCACGAUCCUGCUGUAACACACUAUUGACAUUACGAUCGAAUUGUAGUUUUGUUUCAGAGAUGAUAAUAAUAGGAAUAGAAAUGUUUACUGUUUGGUCCCUAAGGAUGAUCCAGAGUCAGAGAGCCUCAUGUUCUGUCUCCCGCUACAGAACUUCUACUAAACAUAUGAAUGUCUCAUCAUCAGUGCGUCUCCUGCUUUCUUAGUGUCAGUCCUGGUGGAUAAGAAUUUCAGAAUGUAAUUUAUCUCUUUGACUGUUGUAGCACAUUCUGGACAGGUUUAUGAGUUCGAGGGCUACAGUGCACUCACUACCUUAGUCUGUUCACAUGUGAUCUUUUGCCUUAUCUUCUCUGUCUUGCUCUGACCAUUUCAUCUCUCUUAAUGUUGUUCGAACGUUUUUUGUAACAACAAAAGGCUGUAUUGGCUCUCCUAAAAUGAAAUACAAAAUAGUAAAAUAUUCAACAACAACAACAAAAAAAAAAAAAAAGGAAAACCUUUUCUCCACAACCGGCGUGAAUGUGUAGGUUUAGAGCCCAAAGAUUGCUAAUGCAAACAGGAGAAACGCCUGGGUAAUGUCGCUUCUUGAUGUGGAGAACGGGCUUUUAGAUAACGGAUGUAAUAAGCUGUACUUUGUUUUCUGAGCACUACUUUGUUCCUAGGCUCUACACAAUACCAAUUACAAGGAAGGAUUCACACAUUCAAAUUCCAUGCAGAUCGAGUACACCAGACGUUAUAAGAUUUUAAAGAGUUUUUUAUAUGUUUCUUUGUGUAAUAUUAAGUAGUUUAUUGCUUUUUUUGGUUCUGUAAACAUAAAGUUUGUAAAAUAUAUUGUCACAAAGUGAAUAAAAUCCUUUAAUGACCA